GGGCUUGCCGGGAAUCGACGGCAGUACAAACGAUAGAUGAUCAAGCCGGGGGUGCACCAUUACCCCGCAACCCAAUGAUGCAAUUCGAAUACCUGCCAACGUAUUCUCACGCGCUAAGGCCGCACUUGCUUCGGCAUUUGCUACACCUUCAUUCGCGUUUGUUGCCGCUUAAUAAAGCCUGCAACCAUCUGUCUCUUGCUGCCUAGAGUAAGAAUCACAGGUGUUAUAUCUAUCUAGGAUUGACGUUGCUGUUAUCUUUUCCGGCAACGUGACCUCUGGCGAAAGGAUCUUCACGAGCGCAUUUACGGCACGCCUUUAGCGCUCUGGUCGUACUCUCAAGCGUGCAUGAGCUUGGAAUAAUCACUAUCGGGCGGCUGACCGGACAGGAGUUCAACUCUCCUCAAGUCCACCA
rnacentral:tmRNA from 1 species